AAAGUGGUCGGACCCUUCCCCAGACCCUGCGCAAGCGGGAGCUACAUGCACUGGGGCUGCCCACUAGUGAAGAUUGGAUAUGUAAUGCCACACAGGGUCAGCGUUCAUCAUUAUCACUCCUAGCACCCCAUAGUGUCCUUGUUCUGAGUAAACUUUCCAAGGCCAUUAUAGUUCUGUGAUGAAAUCCUGAAUAGACUGCUAUACCACUGUCAUAUCCAGUGGCUUGUAAACUUUAAUAUAGCUACUGGAAACUUUCGUGAAGGUAUGCUUGUCAUUGAAUAGCGAUCACAGCAUGAAUAGGAAUGCAAAUGAAAAUAUAUGCUUUGUUUUUCAUGACAUAAACUACAAAAAUAAAUUUGAACGCGAACUUUAGUGAAAAAGUAGAUGUUUGGUUUCCUUUGAGAAUGGAGUUCAUGUCUAUAUGUGAGGUUCAGGUCGACCAGCAAAUUCAUUUUUAUUUUGAUUGGUUGUUCGAUCUUAUAAGAUUGUACUACUGCCCAGCUAAUUUUGCAAACUGGAUGACAGAUCUUCCUGGGUAUUUAACUGAAACAGUAAUUAGCAUCCAUUUAUAUAGUAAAAAAAGCAAAAAGGGAUUGCUAUAUCAAACCAGAAAGAUGUAUCAUCCAGGAAGUUGACUUCGACAUGACAGUUCUUGCUCAACCUAGGAAGUAUUUCUAGCUUUUAUUGAAAUUUAGCGCCUGGGUCUCUCUCAUAGAGCUGACUGUUCGAAAAGUUUAUAGCAAAAUAAAGAGCGACAGGCAUAUUAAACUGGGUCAUUCCUCCAUUUAUUCACACUAUAUGUACUAGCACUGCCAUGUUGAAACCACCUGUACAAUGAUAAACACUGAGGAAUGCUGUUUAUUUUAUUUUAAAAAAAUAAGGAAAUCAUUGACAUGGGAUUGGGACAAAGGGAUGUUAUCUUUGCAUCAUUUAUAGCAGACCAAAACUCUAGUUCACUGAGUAACAAUAAAGAAAGACUUGGCAAACCUGCUUAAUUUCCUGAAGAAGUGCUUACCUGAAUAGCAAAUAUUACUGCAACUUAGCAAAUAGCCUGUCAUGUGACAAGUUACGCUCAAACAGAUUCAGUAGAAUCACGAAUAGUCAACCUCAACAAUGUCAAGUCAAGUGAAUCCUGUUUGUCUAUGAUUCAUAAGGCCAAAUGGAGAAGCGCCAGAACAUAACCAAGGCGUCCCAGUCUUUUUAAACAGUAGUGUACAUCUCAUUAUAAUUUUCAGUUUAGCAGUUAGCACAGCUAGCACCAGGAUGCAUGUCAGCACAAAAGCAUGUCAAGACAGCCUCCGUUGAAGAGAAAGAGCAUGACAGGACAGAAGCAUGUGCCUCUUAAGUUUAUGAAGUCAACUUCAGAUGAUAAAUUCCCUCAACAAAAUUUAAGAUGAUAGACCACUCUACUCUUCCCAAGUUUUGAAAUACACACUAUGUUGGCCGUUAUGAGGUCUUUCUGAUCAGCAAUAAGGAGAAUAUGCUAUAUGAGAACAGAUUUUAAGAGAGCAAAAUUGAUUCCGAGUUAUGGACACUUACAAGAUAAACAAAUCCUUCUGAAGCCUUUGUAAUUCUCCCCAUUCUUUCUGUUGGUGUUUUUAGUAACACCUGCAGGCAUUAAUGUAAGACAUAACAAAAAUGAUGUUACCAACUUAACAAACAAAAGAGGCAUCUUUAAUAUUCCCAACUAAUCAACACCUGAUGCUGAGUAUUUCUUCAAUAUUCCAGAAUCCAGACUAAUAAGCAUCUUAAAUUACAGCAAAGCAACGAGCCACUAGGCAUAACUCAUCAUUAUGCAUCAACGCUUAAAUAAGAAAUAUUCAAAGGUAGAGAGAGAUAAAGAGAAUAUUCAACCCUUUUUUGUUGAGACACAAGAGAUGGAAAAAUGGAUAAUGCAAAAGAGAGCCUGCCAGCUUAAGGUGUUCUUGGCAGCCUCGCUUCUCAAAAUCUCUGUCGCUUCUCAAAACCUGCAGCAUGGUAAUACAUAUGCAACUUGAUUGUUACAGUGAGAAUAGAACUUCACAACAGCAACAAAGUGUCACAUUACUAAGAUCAGUGUACAGCAAACUAUUGUCAUGUAAAAUAUAGCUAUGGAUAUAUAUGUCUAUGUCUAUGCUUUUAUGCAGCUUUUAAUUCCUCAAUCGUCUACCUGAAAUCUUGUGCACUAGUGAAAACUAACAUACAGGAGAAGCGGUGCCGCAUUUCAGAUAAUUAACAAAGUGGCCAUAUGAGUUGAAUGACAUUUUAAUGUAGAAGAACAUCACUUAACCUAUGGGAAACUAUAAGGCAUUACCAUGUGCACCGGCUUCUUUAACAACAGACAUGAAGUUGGUGACACCAUGCUUCAGAAUCGGGUUGUAAUAUGUGAAAAGUGCUAGAAGGCAGGGCAUAUCAGCUAAUGUCGAUUCUGUUAAUGCUGAUUCAAGAAAGAUGGAGCAACGGAAAAAUAAGGGGAUGAUCUGAAGGCUCUUGAAGCAACUUUGGAGCAGACUGUGCAAGAUGGGGGACUUGGAAAAGUUGAUGAGCAGCAGGAGCACGUAUCUUGUCAAGCAAGAUGAGUGUAUGAAGAAAAUCCGAGAUUUGGACUCAUUGCCUGCUGAUGCUUUUGAAACCUAUAUUUCCAUUUGUUUUAUCUUGCUAAACUGGCUAACUCAGCUGCACAAUACCUUUUUUUAUAGUGUUAACCAUGUUGUAGUUAUUUUCUCGCCAAUAAUAAAGGUACAAGAGAAAUAACAAGCAGCAGCUGCUUUAUGGCUGCACUGAGCAUUUGAAGUAAUUAGUCCUUCCUGAACUUCACCGAACAGCGGAGAAGACGGGCUGAACUUGAUGUUGGUGACGAGGCAAGUUUUUUGAUCAGUACAACUUGGUUCCCUUGUGAUUGUCCUAAUACUAGAAUCUCACAAAAUCUGCUGAUUGGUAUUGCUGCAUACUAGAGAGUUGGUAUCAGUUUUAGUCCAAAGGAAGGAUGAAUCAAUUGAACGCACAUUUAAAGGAGUUGCAAGGCACUCCCAUGAAGUGUUCUCUGAAUUAGUGCAAGGUGGCCGUGGAUACUUGGUUAUGAUGAAGAAAAAGGAUGGUGAUGCUGGUGAUGGUGACAUGGAUGACGACCCACCUCACGAACCAGAUCCUGAAGGGAGGAUAGAGUAGUCUAUAUUGGUGUGAAAGUCAAGG